rfam:Ornithorhynchus anatinus chromosome 4, whole genome shotgun sequence.
GCCCUCUAAGAAUCACAUCUGGAGAGUUUCCAGUAUUCUACCAGGCCCGGCUAUGGGAGGGAGAGUCAAGCAGAGGCAUACCCAUUUCAUUCCUAGCUUGGGCAGUGGAUAGUGAGUGGAAGGUAAUCUACUGUAAGU